rnacentral:rRNA from 1 species
GACGAACGCUGGCGGCGUGCUUAACACAUGCAAGUCGAACGGAAAGGCCCUGCUUUUGUGGGGUGCUCGAGUGGCGAACGGGUGAGUAACACGUGAGUAACCUGCUCUUGACUUUGGGAUAACUUCAGGAAAAUGGGGCUAAUAUCGGAUAGGAGCCCCUGUUGCAUGGUGGGGGUUGGAAAGUUUCGGCGGUUGGGGAUGGACUCGCGGCUUAUCAGUUUGUUGGUGGGGUAGUGGCUUACCAAGGCGUUGACGGGUAGCCGGCCUGAGAGGGUGACCGGCCACAUUGGGACUGAGAGACGGCCCAGACGCCUACGGGAGGCAGCAGUGGGAAAUAUUGCACAAUGGGCGGAAGCCUGAUACGGCAACGCCGCGUGCGGAAUGACGGCCUUCGGGUUGUAAACCGCUUUCGCCUGUGGCGAAGCGUGAGUGACGGUAAUGGGUAAAGAAGCACCGGCUAACUACGUG